ACUCCUACGGGAGGCAGCAGUGGGAAUAUUGGACAAUGGGGAACCCGUAGCAUCCAGCCAUGCCGCGUGAGCGAUGAAGGCCUUAGGGUUGUAAAGCUCUUUCAGGUGGGAAGAUAAUGACGGUACCACCAGAAGAAGCCCCGCGUAACAUCCGUGCCAGCAGCCGCGGUAAUACGGAGGGGCGUAGCGUUGUUCGGAAUUACUGGGCGUAAAGCGCACGUAGGCGGAUUGGAAAGUUGGGGUGAAU
rnacentral:rRNA from 1 species